rnacentral:rRNA from 1 species
GAGUUUGAUCAUGGCUCAGAAUGAACGUUGGCGGCGUGGAUUAGGCAUGCAAGUCGAGCGAGAACCCCGCAAGGGGGACAGCGGCAAACGGGGUAGUAAUGUGUCGGAACGUGCCCUGAGGUCGGGGAUAGCGGCGGGAAACUGCCGGUAAUACCCGAUGAUCUCGAGAGAGCAAAGGUGUGAUUCCGCCUUUGGAGCGGCCGACAUGGUAUUAGCUAGUUGGCGGGGUAACGGCCCACCAAGGCUGUGAUGCCUAGGGGAUGUGAGAGCAUGAUCCCCACCAUUGGGACUGAGACACUGCCCAGACACCUACGGGUGGCUGCAGUCGAGAAUCUUCGUCAAUGGGCAAAGCCUGAACGAGCGACGCCGCGUGCGGGAUGAAGGCCUUUGGGUUGUAAACCGCUGUCGAGGGGGAUGAAGGCUUGAAAGUCAUCUUUCAAGUUUGACAGAGCCCUGGAGGAAGCACGGGCUAAGUUCGUGCCAGCCGCCGCCGUAAC